rnacentral:sRNA from 2 species
CGUGGCACAUCGCCGAGUUCUGCCGGUGCCCGGGGUUCCUGAAGAGAAAUCGCUUGGCAGAAGCGGGGAAACCAUUUCCGGUCCCGGUGUGCCGGGGCCUUGGGGUUAAGUCGUUCAGAGCGCGUGCGUCCUGAACGGCCGGGUGUCUCCCACCCGAACCCGACAGCUCACCUCGUAGGCAAAGGGAGGAACC